rnacentral:rRNA from 1 species
CGUUCCCGGGCCUUGUACACACCGCCCGUCACACCACGAGAGUUUGUAACACCCGAAGUCGGUGAGGUAACCUUUUGGGGCCAGCCGCCGAAGGUGGGAUAGAUGAUUGGGGUG